GGUCUGUGAUGAGCAGUAAAAGGUCUGACGGUCCCAGGACUUGUACUUCCACGGCCUUUUCUCCCAGCAGUUGCUCCCCAGUCCCAGCACAGCAAUGGUGUGGCUGGGGGAGCGUUUGCUGACAGCUGGUGAUGGGUUCAGUUCAUGUCAGCCUGAAGUGCUGGAGACAUGGCUGGGAGCAGCAUCCAACAGUCCUGCUUGAAGGAGUUUGGGGUCUUGGAUGGCUAUAACUGGACACAUGAUCUGACUUUUCUGCUGAGACC
rnacentral:snoRNA from 1 species